GUGGGGAACUCCUCACUGUCUGGUAGUGCAGGAGCCACAAAAAGGAUUUUCAUCAAAAUAUUCUCUUCUCAUGGUCCUGCAGGCUUAAAGGCAGAAAAGAUGAGGAGAUCAAGGGCACUCUCAGCAGAACUCUGCAAACUGCCAUAAUUCAAAAGAUUUGAAAUUUGUGUGCCCAGCAUCCAAGGACCUGUUGCAGAAACAACAUAAGAUGCAAGUGGCUGCACUUGCUUCCCACUGCUCCCUACGUGCAUCUGAAGAAAUCAGACUGGAGAUACAGAAGUUGAAAUCGAUUGAUAAUUGCUUUAGUAUGACUUCUCUUGCUUUUUCCAGGGUGAGCCCUGUGCUGUUUCAGAGGCACAGAGGAGGAAAGCAGAAGCUUUAAGGGAGUGGUUUGUCCUUCCCUCCCUGCUUAUUUCUUUGAUUUUGUGCAGGGUUUUAAUUUCACAAGCCCAUUGAGAGGAGAGGCAGAUGAGAUCAGAAAGGGAUUUCUAGGAUGAACACAGGGAUCACCUAGGAGAAUCCAUCUGAUGCCCUAAUGACAGACACAUUUUUGAACAAUCAACCUGAAGAAUUGUUUAAUGAAUACUAGAUUAUAUUAAAUAUACAGGUUGCAUCUAAAGCCUGACUAAAGCAACUGGAUACUAACAGUUAUUUUUCUUUAGAAAAAAAUUAAAACCAAACUGAAGACUACUGAGUUUAUGUUGUUUCUCCUGAUAUUCCCCUCUGCUGACUUGAGAGCAAGUUACUCACUAUAAAACCCUCCCAAAGCCAAGUGCUGGUUUCAGUGAAAUGCAGAAGAAAAGCAGGAGGCAAAGAGCCAUGCUGGUAAAAUUCCCAGGUAUCAGCCUUGUGCAGAGAGCUGUCGCAGCAGCGAUUAGCGAGGUCCAGAGCCCUGUCCCCUGGUUUUAGGGCUCCUCAGCUGAGUUUCCUGCCUAUGAUCGAUCUUGCAAACCACCACAGCGUGGCACUGUGACAUUCCAGCUGCAAACCUGGGUUUAUUUCCCUGCAGCCAGGCUCCGGACACAGCCCCCAAACAGCACCCGGGCUGGGGGACGGGGCCCCUAAAGCAGCUGGGGCGUUCUGCAGCUCUGCAGAACGCCCCAUCCCCAUCCCCUCCAAGCGUGGAUCCCACUCCAGAGGCUCCUGGGCUCCCACUUUGCAGGAAUGCCUGUGGGAACAAGGGGGCAAUCCCAGUGCUGGGUGACUGACAGCAGCUGUGCUUUGGGACUGUGGAAAGGGAAUAAUGGCUGCUUUUCCUUGGCUCUUAAAAUAACCCCAUCCUAGAGCUAAUAUUUUGUAUUCAGUGAAACGCUUCUGACAAACCAAUACUUUCUAUCUGAAAAUAAAAAACAAAUUUUCAAAGAGCUCCACCCUCAACAGCCCCAUGGACAUACACAAAAUCCUGGCCCACUCCAAUGAGUAUUUCUGUACCACUGCAAAAUAUUUUCUGAGACCCUUCGAAUUCUGAAGAAUUUGUACUUGUAGAUCAUGGAAUGAAACAAAACAACCAUUCAGCAUUCUCAGAAUGGUCUGAAAUAAAUAUUGCAGCCAGCAGGACUGCAAAAAACCCAUUUAUUCUAGAAAGUGUCACACAGGUUUUGUUGAUUGGUGGCCAACCAAAGCCUUCCAAAGUGGUUUGUGGGUUGGUUUGGUUACUUUCUUCUUCAUAUUAAUAUAAUAUACUCUCAUCUAUUAAUGGCUGUAGCCAUUCUACCCCUGUCUCUAAAGGUGGCAGGAAUUGCAAUGAACUGUUCAGGGCCCUGUCACAGCACUACUGCAUCUGUCUCGUGGCUCUCAAUUGAAAUACUGAUCAAGUCUGGCCCUACUGAAUUUUUACAAUUAAAGUUUCAAGGUGACAUACUAUGGCAUAACAUUAAGCAUAGAUUUCAUUUGUCCUUCAUUAAUAAUCAACCUUACAGUCAAAUAUCCAUUAACAUGAACUGCAUAAUAAAAUCAACAACAAUUUCAAAUGAAUUCCCAUAUGAACAAAACAUUUCAAAUGCUUAAUAUUUCACACUCUUCUCGCACCAGAUAGAGUUCAGUAGCAGUCUAGGCCUUUGAAAUCUUCAUAAUGCUUUUUAUCUUUUGAAAUGAAACAUUUCCCUUAGACUUUCAUAUCACCCCUAUUACUUUACAUCAGUGCCAAGUCAAUUCCCCUUCUGGAUUUCAUCUUUCCUCUCAUAUCUCUUUUGCCAUUUAGCAAACAACAUCCUGUCUCUGGAUCUUCUCAGGGUAUUUACUCACAAAAAAAAGGACACUGUUCUAACCAAAAUUAGCAGAAUCAGAACAAAGGCAGCUCUCAUCUGCUUCAUGGGCUGGCAUGUGCAAUAAGUGAAAAUACAGAGAUAGAAGUACAUCAAACACAAUUAACAGCUUGUUUGCUACAUAGAACUUAACUUGGCAAUGCAGGCCCUCUAGUAUCACCCACUGGUGUACUGCAUUAUUAUAAAUAUAAUGUAAUAUGUACAUUUACAUCUUCAACAAUGUAAAUUUAUGUCUUUUUCCCUGUCCUGUAGAAUUUUUAUUUUCCCAAGCAAGAAGGCUUACAACCCUCUUUGCUCAUAUAACCUGGUGCUAUUCUGUUCAGGAGCACAACAGUCCAAAGAACAAAAAUCCCAGCCAUUAUCAUUAUUAAUAAAGAAAAAUUUUCCAAUUGUGACUGGAACCUUUUAAGAUUUUAGAUUGAGCUGCUUUUCCUGGUGGGGAGCAGUGUGAUUGCUUGUAUUCUGGGGAGUAGAGGUGACUUUGUCAUGCUCAAAAUCUGCGCUUUUUGAUGUUAACUAACUUCCUAUAAAACCCUGUGAAUGCCAGAUAAGGAGGCUUUUACCUGAGAGCAGCUAAGUCUGAUAAGUGAGGUGUUUGAUUAAGCUCAACUAAGAUUAGGAGAAAGUUAUUGAUGCCUUAUCUCUAAAGGACUAUUCAGUUCAACAGCUAUCUCAGUGAGAAGCUGUCCUUUUUCUCUCCCUGACAAAGCCACAAUCUAACCAUUUUAAAUCCAAUCCACUUACAGCACUCAGACAAUGCUCUUCAUUUACUAUAGCUGAAGUUGCCACAUUCCCAUGGCAGACUAGGACAAUGUUUAUUACAAGAUCUAGAAUGGAUAUUCUGUGGAAUUCUCAGGCACUAAACACUUUAGACAAUAAAGGUUUCCCAACAUUUCUCUGUCUUGAGAGGAAAGCACAAUUUUUAAAGUACUGCUUCCAUUACAUAAUGCUCCUCUGAACAUAAAGCAGAGCAAUUUCCCAGUACUUUAUAAAAUCUAUUCCUUUAGGCUACCAUUUACAUCCUAGGAAUUACAGCCAUAUCAAGCAUUUGCAUGGAGAUCAUUAAUAUUUAACGUGGGACAUAGAACUGAAUCAACUGAAACAAUCUGCACUCACAGAAGGCCACAGCACCCUCCUUCUGUGCCCUUCUGCAGCAGCAGUGAAUCCCCUCUCCCCACUGAUGGCUCUUUGGAGUGGUGGUUACUGUUUUAAUUCAAAGUUUGCAAGUCUCCUGUUGCUUAGACAGCCACUCCAAGAGAGGAGUCCCGGAUCCCAGGUGUGUUUUAUGAAAAUGUUGGCACUGCUGAGCACGGACAGAGCAAAGCACCAGACCCUGGACCCCUGUGCUGUGUGACCAAAACCUCUCCUCUCCUCCCUGCAGCCCAGGGGCCCUGAACUGGGACUGAGCCAGGGCCAGUCCUCCAUGCCCAGCACUCCUGGUCACGUUCCUGCCCCCCCAGCUCCCUGCUCAGGGCAUCUGCUGCUUGCAAAUCUCAUACCAAGGUGCCCAGUUCCCAAAAUAUUGCCCAUCUAAUGAGCAGUUCUCAUUUGCAAACUUCAGUAUGCCUUUGGGCAGACCCAAACUUCUUGGGAGCUUGAUUUAUUUCUGCUGGAAUGAUGUGAGACCACACUUGGACUUUCAGUGAACUUGACCUUCUCUCCUGCUGUAAAUUGCCUGACACACUGCUGGAAGUACAGAGACUUUGUCAAGAAACUGUAAUUAUCAAAAUGCAUGAAACUGGAGAUACAAUUUGCACUUGUUCAUCACACCAUUCCAUUUUCAUACUGUUGUAUUUUUUCUCAUUUUAAUUGAGUUCCUAUGCUGCAAAUUAGUCUCAUAGUGCUCCUGCCUUGUUCUGGCUUAAAGCAGACAUACAUGAGGUAUCCCACUGAAAAAGCUAAAUUCUUUCUGCGAGGGAUAUUUAACUUUCCUUGCUAAUUCCACUGCUAAUUUAACCAAGUUUUACUGUUAGUUCUCAAUUCUUUUCCAGACCAUGCCUUUUUGCAACAUGCAAAAGUGAAUGUUAAAACCCCCACCCUAGUAUUGUGGCUGUCUGCUGUGAAUAGACUUGUGAGAUGAUAAUGACAAAAAUGCAGAUGUGGUCUCUGGAAUUUGUGCAGAGAGCUGACUUUGUUUCCUGAUCCAAAACUUUUAAAUGAAGCAACCAUUCCUUUGGCAAAACCAUCGUGGUGACACUUUCCACUGUGACAGCCACCAGGGACUUUGGGGUUCAGUGAAGCACAGGGAGCUACUAAACCACUGCAAGGAAAGCAGGAAAUUCCUGCAGCGCUUAUUUGCUAAAUAUAGCCUGGGUUUAAUUUGUCCAUUCAAUCCUUUCUCAUCCUGGGGAGGCAGAAGUUAAUUUGUUUUACAUGCAAGCAGCAACCAUUUGGGUCAGCCUGAAGAAACCAUUUUGGACUGUCAACAUGCAUCUAGGGGAGCCCUGAGACAGAGUGGGAGACAAAUUGACCAAACGUUGAUUUAUAACAACAGUCAGCCAGAGAAAGCAGAAAUGUGAAAACAGUGCAAGCAGAGUGUGAAACCCAAACCUGAACUGUCAGGGAACUGAAAGAACAACCAGAUGCUUUCUGCAGUGACAUAAAUCGAAGCAGAAGUCACCAGGCAGAGAUAUAAGCAAUGCUACCACAACACGUAAAUAAUCUGACUCACUCUAAAAGAGUUGUUCUGUGGUGCUGAAACCAACUGCUGGUUGCAUAAAUCACAUCCCCCUCAGACACAAACAGGGUAGGACACACAUUCUUCGGAGAGAGGAAACGAUACCACAGAGCUGGAGUAAUCUCUCUUGCUGGAAAUGCAAUCUAGGACAAAGAAAUUGUCACAUUCUGGGUCUGAAAGAGUACCAGUGGAUUAGAGAGUAGCUCCUGCUGGCACUACUCUUUCAAUUUAUCCCCAAGUAUCACAUGAACAUUACUGUUACUGCUUCCAUUCUGCAUUAAGAGAUGAAGAAAUUGGUUACAGACCAGCGAGAGACCAUUCAAACAAAUGAGCAGCUAAAAACGACAGAGGCAACAACUCCUUAGUGUACAAGUUACAGCGUUCCAGGAUGCAGGAACUUAUAUUUAAUUCUACAGCUGACUGUAAGUCUAUUGUUCCUGUAAGUCAACAGCUAUCAUUAAGUAACAACCAUUUAAAAGUAUCUGCAAUCUUCUGAGCUUCAGAGCGCAGAACAGAGAUAUUCUAUUCUUAUGUCACAUUGCAAGGUCAUCUUCCAAACCGAAGCUUAUGUACAAGCACCUUGUGAACCUCAUUCUGAAAUAAUUGUAUCACUACUAAAUGUUCACAAUCAAAGGUUUCAAGUAUGUGAAAGCUAAUUUUGAAAAGAGUAUCUCCAAAAGCUGAGAUCUACCUGGAACACCUCUAGCCUCACCAUGCACUUAUGAAGUCUGCUUAAACUCACCUGCACUAUUUUCAUUAUUAAAAUAAAAAAAAAAUAAAGAAAGAAUUGUGCAAACCUUUACAUUAAAAUGUAUCUAAAAAUGUCAUCUCCUAGCCCUUCUGAAAGGCUAGCACACAUUGAUUAACUAAAUUAGUUAUUGCCUUUGUGUAAGAAGCAAAAGCAAAAGAAAAACCCACUCAUUUUCCUCAAACUUUUCAAACUUGGAGACAGGCACUGGACUCUGCAGGGAAACAUCUUCUCUCAGAGCAAACACCAAUUCAGUAAACAAGAGAAAGGAGUAACAAAAUGCUUGGCUAUAUCUCACUUUCUUUUCCACUUGUUUGCUUUGUUCAUUCUUUAAUGCAAAAAAUAAAAGAUACUUUCUCUAUGUGCCUUUUUCAUAUAAAAAUACAAAUAUAUACAAAGAGAAAACAUUAUUGGGAAAAGAGAACACACUGCAAUCUUACUGUGUUUUAG